rnacentral:rRNA from 1 species
GAUGAACGCUGGCGGUAUGCCUAAUACAUGCAAGUCGUGCGGAAAGGCCUCUUCGGAGGUACUCGAGCGGCGGACGGCAGAGUAACGCGUAGGAACAUACCCCCAAACUGAGGGAUAACUGCUCGAAAGAGUAGCUAAUACCGCAUGUGGUCUUCGGACUAAAGCUUCGGCGGUUUGGGAAUGGCCUGCGUUCGAUUAGCUAGUUGGUGAGGUAAUUGCUCACCAAGGCGACGAUCGAUAGCUGGUCUGAGAGGAUGAUCAGCCUGACUGGAACUGAGACACGGUCCAGACUCCUACGGGAGGCAGCAGUAGGGAAUUUUCCACAAUGGGCGAAAGCCUGAUGGAGCAAUACCGCGUGCAGGAUGAAGGCCUUCGGGUCGUAAACUGCUUUAUGUGAGAAGAAUUUGACGGUAACACAUGAAUAAGGGUCGGCUAACUACGUGCCAGCAGCCGCG